CGAGUCGGCGGCCUGGGCGCCCGGGGAGCUGGCCCCGCGCGGCCCGGCGCGGCCCCGACCCGCCGCCGGCGCCGGGAGCCCGGUGGCCCCCAAACAGAGCGCUGAGGACCACCCAGAGGGCAGCAGUGUCUCUGAAGCCCCAGGCAGCUGCUACGAGAGGCCCGAGAGGCCAUCCACCAUCACCUACGACUACUCCGAGGAAGAGCUGAUGGCCAGCAUUGAGCAGGAGUACUGCUGCUGAGGCCGGUGCUGCAGCAGCCCCGCUGUCACCCAGCGGCCAGUUUGCUGCUCCUCCCAGACCUGGCCCCACCUGCCCUGCCCAAGGCUCUAGGUGGAGCUGAGCCCCCUCCAACACGCAGUUACUCCUGGAUCUGUCACAGCUGACCCUUUCAAGUCCACAUUCAGAUGGGCCUGAAUCGGGGUGGCUGCUGCCCAUUGUGCUUAUUGGCAAGAGGAGGUCAGCUCUGUGGACACGGGCCAGAAGGAGGGUGCAGGUGCUGCCCCACAGGCGCAGGGCCAGGUGACCUGCCACAUACCUGCCCCUCCCCUCAGUCUCUGGGGAGAGUGGGCUACAAGAUGCUCCUGGAUCUUGAAAUGCUUCUCCUUUCUGAUGGCCCACGGGCCACCUGCUCAGGAGGCCCUUGAGCUGAAUGAAAGUCUUGGGGCCUCUAACACCCCUGCCGCAGCGCCUCAGGGACGUUCCCCGCAGCAGGUGCACCCAGCUGGAGGGAGCUGGAGGGAGCCACCCUCCAUGCCGCAAAGGAAUCGCUGAAGAUGCUACUGAAAUGAAAACAUUCAGAUUCUGUGUGUCUGGGGGCCUGGGAGUCUGCAUUUCUCACCAGCUCCCGGGUGAGACCCAGGCUGCCAGAUCCCAGCCACCCUUGGAGCAGCGAGGAUUGAGUCUGAGCUUUAGGCUCCAGGUAAUGCUUCCCUGGAGCUGGAGGCUGCUCAGAGCCACAGCCCAGCUGCCUCCACAAAGAGAGGCCUGUGCUGUGGCCAGUGUGGAGGGACAGGAGCUGGAAACCCCCCGUCUGAUCCUUGCUCUGUCACUAACUUGCAGUCACCUUCCCUCUCUGACUCAGCUUCCCUUUCUAGAAAGGGAGCCCCGGAGGCUCUUCGGGUGUUGUCUCCCCACCCCCCCAUCUAGGACGACACACUCCCAGGCUUCCCUGGUCUCUGGGCACAGGACCGCCUUCCUGCCCAGGUGGAGCCCAGCACCCCUUGGACAGGCUCUUCAGGGCCGCCUGCUCUUCCCACCCAGGAAGAAAGUAGGAAUCUCACAGCCGCAAGGCCAGAAGAGCCUCAGAACCUUCCCAGCCGCCAAAGGAGAAAGCCAGCCAAGGAUGCCCUGUGAACGAGGCAGGGCCCGGAGAAGUGCAGCCUGGCCGGAAGGCUGCGUUCAGCAGGCUCGGAGUGUCAGAGCGGCCGGGAAGCAGCUCCUCUGGGGCAGCUGGCUGCGGUGUCGGUACAGAAAGCCUCGUGGAAGGCAUGGCCGCGUCCCAGCCAGAACAGGUCUCAGCUUGUCUGGUGUUAACCACUCACACAGCCGCCUCUGGGGCAUCGCCCACCAGCGAAGGGGCAAGAUGGUCUCAGAAACCGAGGAACGACCUCUUGGCCCUGUCCCCAGACCCAUGGGCCUGUUGCUAAAAGGGGCAAAGAGGUGUUUCCACGAACCUUUAAGACUUGGCAACUGUGCCUUUGAUCAGAUGGUCCAGGAGUGGGAGAUUUUAACCUGCAAGUCAGAAGAUGGAGCGCUGGAGCCUCCCACUAAAUGCCCCUGAGGGUUGGCUCAGAAUGUCCCCAAAGCAAGAGCUAUUUCUCAUCCAAGCCCAGACCUUUCAUUUUGAUAUGGAGAUUAAAGCCAAUACUAUUUCGAGAACACAAAUACUUCUUUUAAAAGAAGUUAUGACUUUCUCACCACUGGAUGGAUCAGACCUUGAAUUUAAUGAUGUGAAAUUGGAAACCUCAUCCAACCCUUAAUGAGAUAAAAGCACGAAGAACAAAAAAAGCUUCCUGAAGUUACAUUUUAUGUCACUGUCAAGGCGAAUGCACUUCAUCAGAGCUAAGAAGUCACAGCGGUUGUUCUCAGAUCUUUUUAUUUUUAUUUUUUGAUUCCCUGAAUUCAGGAACAGCGUCUUCUGAACAGCGGCUUGCCAAAAAAGCAGCGUGUCCCAGCCCGUGAUGCGGAGAUGGGCGAUGGACAGAGGACGCUUGGUGGUGGCAGGGGUGCUGGUCCUGGUGGCGACUGCUUGUUGCACUCAAUGGGCACACAGUGCCUCCUGGGUGCUGAGCACUGCUUCAGGCCUUCUCUUGGGUGCUGGGUGCUGCUUCUGAGCCCCCGCUUCUGCUUAGGAGCUGAGUGUGGCAUCUGCUCAGGGAGAAUGUGGCUGAAAUAAAGGCGGGAAAAGACCCUUCCAUGUUGAAAGUAACAAUGGGAGUUCCCCCUGUGGCUCAGCAGGUUAACAACCGACAUAGUGUCCCUGAGAACACGGGUCCCAUCUCUGUCCUUGCUCAGUGGGUUAAGGAUCUGGCCAUGCUAUAGGCUGCAGUCCAGGUCACAGACUCUGCUAGGAUCUGAUGUCGCUGUGCCUGUGGUGUAGGCUGGCAGCUGCAGCUUGGGUUAGAUCCCUAGUCUAGGAAGUUCCAUAUGCCGCAGGUGUGGCUAUAAAAAGAGAAAAAAAAGUGACAAUGACAGGUUGAAAGUCUCAGUGCUACAGAUGUGUCUCUUGAUUUCUGUGGUGGCAAUUCCCUCUGAGAUGCUACAAAGCCCGGGAGUUAAGAAAACAUGCUUGGAGUUCCCAUUGUGGCGAAGCGGAAAUGAAUCCCACUAGGACCCAGGAGGUUGCAGGUUCCAUCCCUGGCCUUGCUCAGUGGGUUAAGGAUCUGGCAUUACCGUGAGCUGUGGUGUAGGUUGCAGACGUGGCUCGGAUCCCCCCCUUGCUGUGGCUGUGGUGUAGGCCGGUGUCUACAGCUCCGAUUCGACCCUUAGCCUGGGAACCUCCAUAUGCAGCCCUAAAAAGAUAAAAGACAAAAAAAAAAAGAAAAGAAAAGAAAAA
rnacentral:lncRNA from 1 species